rnacentral:rRNA from 1 species
UGAGUUGUUGCUGGCCCUCAAUGGGGGCACGUGCACGCUCUGUUCACACAUCCACUCACACCUGUGCACCCUCUGUAGUUCUAUGGCCUGGGGGACAAUGUCCUCUUGCUGUGGUCCUACGUCUUUACACACACACACUGUAAUAAAGUCUUAUGGAAUGCAUGUCGCGUUUAACGCAAUACAAUACAACUUUCAGCAACGGAUCUCUUGGCUCUCGCAUCGAUGAAGAACGCAGCGAAAUGCGAUAAGUAAUGUGAAUUGCAGAAUUCAGUGAAUCAUCGAAUCUUUGAACGCACCUUGCGCCCUUUGGCUAUUCCGAAGGGCAUGCCUGUUUGAGUAUCAUGAACACCUCAACUCUCAUGGUUUGCCAUGAUGAGCUUGGACUUUGGGGGUCUUGCUGGCCUACGGUCGGCUCCUCUCAAAUGAAUCGGCUUGCCAGUGUUUGGUGGCGUCACAGGUGUGAUAACUAUCUACGCUUGUGGUUUUCGCCAGGUAACCUUCAGUGAUGGAGGUUCGCUGGGGCUCACAAAUGUCUCUCCUCGGCGAGGACAGCUUUUGAACGUUUGAUCUCAAAUCAGGUAGGACUACCCGCUGAACUUAAGCAUAUCAAUAAGCGGAGGAAAAGAAACUAACAAGGAUUCCCCUAGUAACUGCGAGUGAAGCGGGAAGAGCUCAAAUUUAAAAUCUGGCGUGCCUCUGGUCGUCCGAGUUGUAGUCUGGAGAAGUGUUUUCCGUGCUGGACCGUGUAC